rnacentral:lncRNA from 1 species
UUAAGGUGGCUCGUGGGUACAAAAAUUUCAGCAAAAAAAUAAACCUUUAUUCUUUCAUUACAAAUUGUAUUUAUUACACUAUUAGUUAUUACUUUAUGAUAUGGUAUAAAAUUCAACCCAAAAAUUUGAUUCGGUUUGGCCCCAGAUGACUUUCAAAAUGUUUAUAUCAUCGAAAAAGCUCCAAAUUAUCUCCCUUUGGUGCAAAAAUGCCAUUUUUGGCAUUCAAAUUUGAAAUAUCUUUUUUAACUCAUCGGUGAC